GUAAUGGCAGGUCAGCAUACUGCCGUGAAUACGUUCCCGGGCCUUGUACACACCGCCCGUCACACCAUGAGAGUUGGGGAUACCCGAAGCCUGUGGGCUAACUUAACGGAGGCAGCAGUCGAAGGUAGAAUCAAUGAUUGGGGUGAAGUCGUAACAAGGUACC
rnacentral:rRNA from 1 species